AGGAUAAUUAGUUUAUAUCGUAGAGUUCCAUUUUAUUUCAUCGAAAUUUCUGAACGUUCUGUUUUUGGGCUUGGGCUCAAUUCAAAUUUGGGCUCAAGUUAGAAAUGCUCGGUCUUCACAACCCAUACUAUAAAAAAAAUUCGGAUUUUUGAUUUAAUAAAAAUUCUAAAGUUUUGAAAAUAAAAAUUCGGGAUAUUACAAU
rnacentral:lncRNA from 1 species